AUGCAGACAUGGCCGAUGGUGUUCGACCAGUUCAUCGAGGAGAGGCUGGUCACAGACGUUCUCAAGAUCGGCGAGAAGGUGUGGGGCGGGGCGCGGAGCACGAAGGAGGAGAAGGAGAUGGUGCCGGCCGAGGUGGUGGCGAGGUUCUUGGAACCAGGCGGAACGGGGGAGACGGCGAGGGACCGAGCGCAGGAGCUCCCAGUGAAGGCUCGUGCGGCCGUGUCGAAAGGCGGGUCGUCGUCCUGUGAUCUGUGCAGGCUUAUCGACGACCUGAUGGAAACAAGGGAGGCCGUCGCCGGCGGCGACACUACUACGUCACGCGCUGCUGAGAUAUAG
rnacentral:rRNA from 1 species